UCUAAGGAUCAUGUCUGCGAGUCAGGAUUCCCGAUCCAGAGACAAUGGCCCCAAUGGAAUGGAACCCGAAGGCGUCAUCGAGAGUAACUGGAAUGAGACUGUUGACAGCUUUGAUGACAUGAACCUCUUGGAAUCCCUCCUCCGUGGCAUCUAUGCCAUGGUUUUGAGAAGCCCUCUGCCAUCCAGCAGCGAGCCAUUCUUCCUUGUAUCAAGGGUUACGAUGUGAUCGCUCCAGCCCAAUCUGGGACUGGGAAGAUGGCCACAUUUGCCAUGUCGAUUCUGCAGCAGAUUGAAUUAGAUCUAAAGGCUACCCAGGCCUUGGUUCUAGCACCUACUCGAGAACUGACUCAACAGAUACAGAAGGUGGUCAUGGCACUAGGAGACUACAUGGGUGCCUCCUGCCACGUCUGUAUUGGGGGCACCAGUGUGCAUGCUGAGGCACAGAAGCUGCAAAUGGAAGCGCCCCACAUCAUCCUGGGUACCCUGGCCGCGUGUUUGGCAUGCGUAACCAGAGAUACCUGUCUCCAAAGUACAUCAAGAUGUUUGUAAUGGACGAAGCCAAUGAGAUGUUAAGUUGUGGAUUCAAGGACCAGAUCUAUGAUGUAUUCCAGAAGCUCAACAGCAAAACCCAGGUAGUUUUACUGUCAGCUACAAUGCCUUCUGAUGUGCUUGAAGUGACUAAGAAGUUCAUGAGGGACCCCUUUCUGAUUCUUGUCAAGAAGGAAGCAAUGACCCUGGAGGGUAUCCACCAAUUCUGUAUCAACACAGAACGAGAGUGGAAGCUGGACACACUGUGUGACUUGCAUGAUACCCUGACCAUCACCCAGGUGGUCAUCUUCAUCCGUACCCGGAGGAAGGUUGAUUGGCUCGCUGAGAAGAUGCAUGCCCGAGACUUCACUGUCUCUGCCAGGCAUGGCGCUAUGAACCAAAAGGAACGAGAUGUGAUCAUGAGGGAGGUCUGCUCUGGUUCUAGCAGAGUACUGGUCACCACUGACCUGCUGGCCAGAGGCAUUGAUGUGUAGCAGGUUUCUCUAGUCAUCAAUUGUGACCUUCCUACCCACAGGGAAACUAUAUCCACAGAAUCGGUCGUGGUGGCCGGUUUGGCCGUAAGGGUGUGGCUAUGAACAUGGUGACAAAAGAAGACGAGGACUCUUCGAGACACCGAGACCUUCUACAGCACCUCCAUUGAGGAGACGCCCCUCAGUGUUGCUGACCUCACGUUAGAGGGGCUGUCUUGCCACCUAGCCCUAGCCAAGGCUCAGUCUUGAGGGCUGAGGAGCAGCCGGAGGUGGGAGGGAAGGGAGCCAAGGGAUGGACAUCUUGUCAUUUUUUUUUUCUUUGAAUAAAUGUCACUUUUUGAGGCAA